rnacentral:rRNA from 1 species
GAUGAACGCUGGCGGCGUGCCUAAUACAUGCAAGUCGAGCGAACAGACGAUGAGCUUGCUCCUCUCACGUUAGCGGCGGACGGGUGAGUAACACGUGUAUAACCUACCUAUAAGACUGGUAUAACUUCGGGACACCGGAUCUAAUACCGGAUAAUAUCUUGAACCGCAUGGUUCAAUAGUAAAAGACGGUUUUGCUGUCACUUAUAGAUGGAUCCGCGCCGCAUUAGCUAGUUGGUAAGUUAACGGCUUACCAAGGCAACGAUGCGUAGCCGACCUGAGAGGGGGAUAGGCGACCCUGGAGGUGAGACACGGUCCAGACGCCUACGGGAGGCAGCAGUAGGGAAUCUUCCGCAGUGGGCGAAAGCCUGACGGAACAAGGCCGAGUGAGUGAUGAAGGUCUUCGGAUCGUAAAACUCUGUUAUUAGGGAAGAACAAAUGUGUAAGUAACUAUGCACGUAUUGACGGUAACUAAUCAGAAAGCCACGGCUAACUACGUG